rnacentral:rRNA from 1 species
GACGAACGCUGGCGGCGUGCCUAAUACAUGCAAGUUGAACGCUUGAUUUUCACCGAAGCUUGCUUCACCGAAAAUCAAGAGUAGCGAACGGGUGAGUARCGCGUGGGUAACCUACCUUUCAGCGGGGGAUAACUAUUGGAAACGAUAGCUAAUACCGCAUAACAAUGUUGGAUGCAUAUUCGACAUUUGAAAGUACCAAUUGGUACACUGAGAGAUGGACCCGCGUUGUAUUAGCUAGUUGGUAGUGUAAUGGACUACCAAGGCGAUGAUACAUAGYCGACCUGAGAGGGUGAUCGGCCACAUUGGGACUGAGACACGGCCCAAACUCCUACGGGAGGCAGCAGUAGGGAAUCUUCGGCAAUGGACGAAAGUCUGACCGAGCAACGCCGCGUGAGUGAAGAAGGUUUUCGGAUCGUAAAACUCUGUUGUUAGAGAAGAACGUUGCAUAGAGUGGAAAAUUAUGCAAGUGACGGUAUCUAACCAGAAAGGGACGGCUAACUACGUGCCAGCAGCCGCGGUAAUACGUAGGUCCCRAGCGUUGUCCGGAUUUAUUGGGCGUAAAGCGAGCGCAGGUGGUUUAAUAAGUCUGAUGUAAAAGGCAGUGGCUCAACCAUUGUGUGCAUUGGAAACUGUUAGACUUGAGUGCAGUAGAGGAGAGUGGAAUUCCAUGUGUAGCGGUGAAAUGCGUAGAUAUAUGGAGGAACACCGGUGGCGAAAGCGGCUCUCUGGACUGUCACUGACACUGAGGCUCGAAAGCGUGGGUAGCAAACAGGAUUAGAUACCCUGGUAGUCC